rnacentral:rRNA from 1 species
GACGAACGCUGGCGGCGUGCUUAACACAUGCAAGUCGAACGGAAAGGCCCCUUCGGGGGUACUCGAGUGGCGAACGGGUGAGUAACACGUGAGUAACCUGCCCUUGACUUCGGGAUAACUUCAGGAAACUGGGGCUAAUACCGGAUAGGAAUCCUUGCUGCAUGGUGGGGGUUGGAAAGCUUCGGCGGUUUUGGAUGGACUCGCGGCUUAUCAGCUUGUUGGUGGGGUAGUGGCUUACCAAGGCUUUGACGGGUAGCCGGCCUGAGAGGGCGACCGGCCACAUUGGGGCUGAGAUACGGCCCAGACUCCUACGGGAGGCAGCAGUGGGGAAUAUUGCACAAUGGGCGGAAGCCUGAUGCAGCAACGCCGCGUGCGGGAUGACGGCCUUCGGGUUGUAAACCGCUUUCAGCAGGGGCGAAGCUUGUGGUGACGGUACCUGCAGAAGAAGCACCGGCUAACUACGUG